GCUAGGGCUAGCAAAUGACAGGCAGGAUCUGUGUGAUCGCCUGGAAGCACGUUACGGCCUAAGAGGAAGAUAUAGGCGGAAUGUAGUGGACUGAUUAGGAAUACGGAUGUUACCUUAGCAGAGGUGGAUGACCCUUUUCCCACCCUGGUGGUUUUGAUUUACUAGCCGGUCCUGCUGCUCCAGACUGUGGGCAGUGCUGGAUGCUGCUGGUCAUCCUGAAUCCAUCCUCUGCUCUUCUCCUCUCCCUCCUCUCAACCUCGGCCGUCUACCUCCACUGCAGAAAUACAGCCGGUCCUGCUGCUCCAGACUGUGGACAGUGCUGGAUGCUGCUGGUCAUCCUGAAUCCAUCCUCUGCUCUUCUCCUCUCCCUCCUCUCAACCUCGGUCGUCUACCUCCACUGCAGAAAUAAAGCCACCAAAGACCCCAGAGUUUAUCCGACAACACCUGACUCAGGAAGUAGAACUCAGGACAUCAGCUUCCAGAACGCUUCACCCAGUUCCUAGUUUUCCUUAACUUCCUAGUUGUGUUUUUAACUUCAUACAUGCGAGAACCAUCCACGGUGAAAAGCUAUAGCUGUACUGACACUGUUGUAUUCAGACGGUGUCUCUUCAUAACAACAUCCUGCAAAGGCUGGCAGCAAAUAUUACUCAGUUUUAUUCUUACAAUAAUGGAUUUAAUAUAGGAGAUAUAUGACCUCAACUUCUUUUUUUUACUGACUCAAAUCAGGUAUGAAAGUUUUAAAUAAACUGCCAUGCAAAAUCUUUGGAUUUUAUUGAUUUGUUUAUACAUUUUAUCAAAACAUAUAAC
ensembl:lncRNA